rnacentral:rRNA from 1 species
CAUGCAAGUCGAGGGGCAGCAUGAACUUAGCUUGCUAAGUUUGAUGGCGACCGGCCCACGGGUGAGUAACACGUAUCCAACCUUCCGUUUACUCAGGGAUAGCCUUUCGAAAGAAAGAUUAAUACCUGAUAGUAUGGUGAGAUUGCAUGAUAACACCAUUAAAGAUUUAUUGGUAAACGAUGGGGAUGCGUUCCAUUAGGUAGUAGGCGGGGUAACGGCCCACCUAGCCUGCGAUGGAUAGGGGUUCUGAGAGGAAGGUCCCCCACAUUGGAACUGAGACACGGUCCAAACUCCUACGGGAGGCAGCAGUGAGGAAUAUUGGUCAAUGGGCGAGAGCCUGAACCAGCCAAGUAGCGUGAAGGAUGAAGGUCCUACGGAUUGUAAACUUCUUUUAUACGGGAAUAAAGUUUCCUACGUGUAGGAUUUUGUAUGUACCGUAUGAAUAAGCAUCGGCUAACUCCGUGCCAGCAGCCGCGGUAAUACGGAGGAUGCGAGCGUUAUCCGGAUUUAUUGGGUUUAAAGGGAGCGCAGACGGGAGAUUAAGUCAGUUGUGAAAGUUUGCGGCUCAACCGUAAAAUUGCAGUUGAUACUGGUUUCCUUGAGUGCAGUUGAGGCAGGCGGAAUUCGUGGUGUAGCGGUGAAAUGCUUAGAUAUCACGAA